rnacentral:lncRNA from 1 species
GGGGUGGGAAGUCUGGGGUGGGAUGGCUUCCCAGGUAUUUGGUGGGUAGGGGCAAGAUCCUAAGGUACCUGUGCGUGCAGGGUCUGGGUUGCAGCCCCCACAGGAGAGACUGGGGACCUCGAGCCACCAAAAGCCAGUGAAGAGACCAUGAGUUGAGAAGCCCCUCCCCUGUGCCAGCAGAGUCAGAGCCUUGAGGACUGGGAUGGGGGCUCAGUUUGCCUUGUGAGGAGCUGGGCCUUCUGUCACCAGGACCGGACAGCAGGCCCUUCCUACCUGGCCAUCUCAGACCAAGAGGUGCCAAGAAGUUCAAAUGUAUCAGUUUAUUAAAAAUGCAGCAUUUUUC